GGUGUUGCUGCUGCUGUGGCAGACGGUGGGAUGCCAAGGGACUUUGGCAGGCUACAGCAUGUGGAAUGGUGUUCGUGUGGGAGGUGUGAGCCCAUGCCUACAGUAGACGAGUCGGUGUGCUGCCGUGAACAAUCGAGGGUGUGCGAGAGGAGGGUGGAGCAGGCAUCCGCUGCAUUACAGAGCAUCUUGGCUUUCAGCCAGUUUGCAUGAACGUGCACGUUCUGCGCACUGCCUACUUCCACUACCGGCAGGACUACGGGGACGUAGAGGGAGAAGAGUGGAAGAGGUACACCGCAUAUAGGCAGUUUGUGCGAUGGUGCUACGAGUACCUGGGAAGACAUGUCAGGGUCCCCUUACCUUCCUGUGUGGUGUGCUGUGUCCGGAGAAGUUUUCCCUCUGUUGAUUACAGGGGGUUCCAGGAUGCCAACAACAACCCGUGAUAUAGCACAAGCACUUAUGUGUUGGUAAUUUUGUUUUCUUUUUUUGUUUGUAAAUACUACAUUAAAUUAAGGUCAAUUUACCUCUUCAA